rnacentral:rRNA from 1 species
CCUACGUGUGGCAGCAGUGAGGAAUAUUGGUCAAUGGGCGGAAGCCUGAACCAGCCAAGUAGCGUGCAGGAUGACGGCCCUACGGGUUGUAAACCUCUUUUAUAGGGGAACAAAGCGCGCUACGCGUAGCGCUUUGCAAGUACCCUAAGAAAAAGGAUCGGCUAAUUCCGUGCCAGCAGCCGCGGUAAUACGGAAGGUGCGGGCGUUAUCCGGAUUUAUUGGGUUUAAAGGGGGCGCAGGCCGGAUGGCAAGUUUGCGGUGAAAUGUCCGGGCUCAACCCGGGCCUUGCGGCGCGAACUGGCGUGCUCGAGUCCGCGGAAAGCAGGCGGAAUUCGUGGUGUAGCGGUGAAAUGCUUAGAUAUGACGAAGAACCCCGAUUGCGAAGGCAGCUUGCUGCAGCGGAACUGACGCUGAUGCUCGAAAGCGCGGGUAUCGAACAGGAUUAGAUACCCUUGUAGUC